rnacentral:rRNA from 1 species
AACGAACGCUGGCGGCAGGCCUAACACAUGCAAGUCGGACGGGAUCUUCGGAUCUAGUGGCGGACGGGUGAGUAACGCGUGGGAACGUGCCCUUUGGUUCGGAAUAGCCCUGGGAAACUGGGAGUAAUACCGGAUGAGCCCUUCGGGGGAAAGAUUUAUCGCCAAAGGAUCGGCCCGCGUUGGAUUAGGUAGUUGGUGGGGUAAUGGCCUACCAAGCCGACGAUCCAUAGCUGGUUUGAGAGGAUGAUCAGCCACACUGGGACUGAGACACGGCCCAGACUCCUACGGGAGGCAGCAGUGGGGAGUCUUAGACAAUGGGGGAAACCCUGAUCUAGCCAUGCCGCGUGAGCGAUGAAGGCCUUAGGGUUGUAAAGCUCUUUCGUGGGGGAAGAUAAUGACUGUACCCCAAGAAGAAGCCCCGGCUAACUCCGUGCCAGCCGCCGCAGUAAUAC